CCUACGGGUGGCAGCAGUGAGGAAUAUUGGUCAAUGGACGAGAGUCUGAACCAGCCACGUAGCGUGAAUGAUGACUGCCCUAUGGAUUGUAAACUUCUUUUAUAUGGGAGUAAAAUGUUCCGCGUGUGGGAUUUUGUGUUUACCCUAUGAAUAAGGAUCAGCUAACUCCGGGACAGCAGCCGCGGUAAUUCGGAGGAUCGACUCGUUGUCCGGAUUUAGUGGGCUUAAGGGGAACGUAGGUGGGUUGGUAAGUCAGUUGUGAAAGUGUGCGGCGCAACCGUAAAAUUGCAGUUGAAACUGGCAGUCUUGAGUACAGUAGAGGUGAGCGGAAUUCGUGGUGUAGCGGUGAAAUGCUUAGAUAUCACGAAGAACUCCGAUUGCGAAGGCAGCUCACUGGACUGCAACUGACACUGAGGCUCGAAAGUGUGGGUAGCAAACAGGAUUAGAUACCCGGGUAGUC
rnacentral:rRNA from 1 species